ACCCUUUUGUAGUUCUUAAGCAUGAGGAUUAGGUUUUCACACUUAUGUGUGAGAUGUCCCUCCCUCAAACCUUGUUAGGACCUCAGUAUAUUCAUUACUUGUCUGCUG